AUUGAACGCUGGCGGCAGGCCUAACACAUGCAAGUCGAGCGAGCGGCGGACGGGUGAGUAAUGUCUGGGAAACUGCCUGAUGGAGGGGGAUAACUACUGGAAAAGGUAGCUAAUACCGCAUACCGUCAGAUAUGCCCAUAUGGGAUUAGCUAGUAGAUGGGGUAACGGCUCACCUAGGCGAAGAUACCUAGCUGGUCUGAGAGGAUGACCAGCCACACUGUAACUGAGCCACGGUCCAGACUCCUACGGGAGGCAGCAGUGGGGAAUAUUGCACAAUGGGCGCAAGCCUGAUGCAGCCAUGCCGAGUGUGUGAAGAAGGCCUUCGGGUUGUAAAGCAAUUUCAGCGGGGAGGCGUUACCCGCAGAAGAAGCACCGGCUAACUCCGUGCCAGCAGCCGCGGUAAUAC
rnacentral:rRNA from 1 species